rnacentral:rRNA from 1 species
CCUACGGGAGGCAGCAGUGAGGAAUAUUGGUCAAUGGACGAGAGUCUGAACCAGCCAAGUAGCGUGAAGGAUGACUGCCCUAUGGGUUGUAAACUUCUUUUAUAUGGGAAUAAAAUGUUCCACGUGUGGGAUUUUGUAUGUACCAUAUGAAUACGGAUCGGCUAACUCCGUGCCAGCAGCCGCGGUAAUACGGAGGACCCGAGCGUUAUCCGGAUUUCUUGGGUUUAAAGGGAGCGUAGGUGGAUUGUUAAGUCAGUUGUGAAAGUUUGCGGCUCAACCGUAAAAUUGCAGUUGAAACUGGCAGUCUUGAGUACAGUAGAGGUGGGCGGAAUUCGUUGUGUAGCGGUGAAAUGCGUAGAUAUCACGAAGAACACCGAUGGCGAAGGCAGCUCACUGGACUGCAACUGACACUGAGGCUCGAAAGUGUGGGUAUCAAACAGGAGUAGAUACCCCAGUAGUC